GUGGGGAAUCUUGCGCAAUGGGCGAAAGCCUGACGCAGCCAUGCCGCGUGAAUGAUGAAGGUCUUAGGAUUGUAAAAUUCUUUCACCGGGGACGAUAAUGACGGUACCCGGAGAAGAAGCUCCGGCUAACUUCGUGCCAGCAGCCGCGGUAAUACGAAGGGGGCUAGCGUUGCUCGGAAUUACUGGGCGUAAAGGGCGCGUAGGCGGACAGCUUAGUCAGAGGUGAAAGCCAAGGGCUCAACCUUGGAAUUGCCUUUGAUACUGGCUGUCUUGAGUUUGGGAGAGGUGAGUGGAACUCCGAGUGUAGAGGUGAAAUUCGGAGAUAUUCGGAAGAACACCAGUGGCGAAGGCGACUCACUGGCCCAAUACUGACGCUGAGGCGCGAAAGCGUGGGGAGCAAACAGGAUUAGAAACCCGGGUAGUCC
rnacentral:rRNA from 1 species